UACGUAGGGGGCGAGCGUUGUCCGGAAUUACUGGGCGUAAAGAGCUCGUAGGCGGUUUGUCGCGUUGGUCGUGAAAACCGGGGGCUUAACCCUCGGCGUGCGGGCGAUACGGGCAGACUUGAGUACUGAAGGGGAGACUGGAAUUCCUGGUGUAGCGGUGGAAUGCGCAGAUAUCAGGAGGAACACCGGUGGCGAAGGCGGGUCUCUGGGCAGUAACUGACGCUGAGGAGCGAAAGCGUGGGGAGCAAACAGG
rnacentral:rRNA from 1 species